rnacentral:rRNA from 1 species
GACGAACGCUGGCGGCGUGCUUAACACAUGCAAGUCGAACGGAAAGGCCCUGCUUUUGUGGGGUGCUCGAGUGGCGAACGGGUGAGUAACACGUGAGUAACCUGCCCUUGACUUUGGGAUAACUUCAGGAAACUGGGGCUAAUACCGGAUAGGAGCUCCUGCUGCAUGGUGGGGGUUGGAAAGUUUCGGCGGUUGGGGAUGGACUCGCGGCUUAUCAGCUUGUUGGUGGGGUAGUGGCUUACCAAGGCUUUGACGGGUAGCCGGCCUGAGAGGGUGACCGGCGACAAUGGUACUGAGAUACGGACCAGUCUCCUACGGGAGGCAGCAGUCGGGAAUAUUACACAAUGGGCCGAAGCCUGAUGCAGCAACGCCGCGUGCGGGAUGACGGCCUUCGGGUUGUAAACAGCUUUCGCCUGUGACGAAGCGUGAGUGACGGUAAUGGGUAAAGAAGCACCGGCUAACUACGUG